UACGGAGGGUGCAAGCGUUAUCCGGAUUCACUGGGUUUAAAGGGUGCGUAGGUGGGCAGGUAAGUCAGUGGUGAAAUCUCCGGGCUUAACCCGGAAACUGCCAUUGAUACUAUCUGUCUUGAAUACCGUGGAGGUGAGCGGAAUAUGUCAUGUAGCGGUGAAAUGCUUAGAUAUGACAUAGAACACCAAUUGCGAAGGCAGCUCACUACGCGAAUAUUGACACUGAGGCACGAAAGCGUGGG
rnacentral:rRNA from 1 species